rnacentral:rRNA from 1 species
UACAGAGGUGGCAAGCGUUGUUCGGAAUUACUGGGCGUAAAGGGCGCGUAGGCGGUCUUCUAAGUCCGACGUGAAAUCCCCCGGCUUAACCUGGGAACUGCGUCUGAUACUGGAGGGCUUGAGUGCGGGAGAGGGAUGUGGAAUUCCAGGUGUAGCGGUGAAAUGCGUAGAUAUCAGGAGGAACACCGGUGGCGAAGGCGGCCCGCUGGACGUAUACUGACGCUGAGGCGCGAAAGCGUGGGGAUCAAACAGG